CGCGGGGUAGAGCAGCCAGGUAGCUCGCCGGGCUUACUUCCCGGAGGUCGUAGGUUCAAAUCCUACCCCCGCUA
rnacentral:tRNA from 1 species